rnacentral:rRNA from 1 species
CUUAGCAAAGAUGCUUUGGUGCCUUCGGGAACUCUGAGACAGGUGCUGCAUGGCUGUCGUCAGCUCGUGUUGUGAAAUGUUGGGUUAAGUCCCGCAACGAGCGCAACCCUUAUCCUUUGUUGCCAGCGGUUAGGCCGGGAACUCAAAGGAGACUGCCAGUGAUAAACUGGAGGAAGGUGGGGAUGACCGUCAAGUCAUCAUGGCCCUUACGAGUAGGGCUACACACGUGCUACAAUGGCGCAUACAAAGAGAAGCGACCUCGCGAGAGCAAGCGGACCUCAUAAAGUGCGUCGUAGUCCGGAUUGGAGUCUGCAACUCGACUCCAUGAAGUCGGAAUCGCUAGUAAUCGUGGAUCAGAAUGCCACGGUGAAUACGUUCCCGGGCCUUGUACACACCGCCCGUCACACCAUGGGAGUGGGUUGCAAAAGAAGUAGGUAGCUUAACCUUCGGGAGGGCGCUUACCACUUUGUGAUUCAUGACUGGGGUGAAGUCGUAACAAGGUAGGCGUAGUGCU